UCCUGCCAGACCGGAGGGGCUGGGGGGGUUCCAGCAGGGGGAGGGUUUUCCCUUCACCCCAGUUGCCAAACAUCCCUCCCACCCCCUGGACCGUCCUUUUCCCUCCAUCCCUGACGGUUCUGGCCUUCCCAAACUGCUUUUGAUCUUCUGAUUCCUCUUGGGUUGAAGCAGACCAAGUCCCGUCCUAGGCACCCAGUUUGGGGGGAGCCUGUAUUUUUUUUUUUAACGACACCCCUACUCCGUAUCCCUCCCCAUCCCAUGCUGCCAACUUCUAACCACAAUAGUGACUCUGUGCUUGUCUGUUUAGUUCUGUGUGUAAAUGAAAUGUGGAAAUGACCCUCCCUGCCCCAGCUGGCUGCCCUCCCCUUUCCUUUGAUCUUGACCACUCAUGGAAGCAGGACCAGUAAGGGACCUUCAAUUUAAAACAAAACAAAACAAAAAAACAAUAAAAAGGC
rnacentral:lncRNA from 1 species